rnacentral:rRNA from 1 species
CAGCCGCCGCGGUAAUACGCAGGUGGCAAGCGUUGUCCGGAAUUAUUGGGCGUAAAGGGCUCGCAGGCGGUUUCUUAAGUCUGAUGUGAAAGCCCCCGGCUCAACCGGGGAGGGUCAUUGGAAACUGGGAAACUUGAGUGCAGAAGAGGAGAGUGGAAUUCCACGUGUAGCGGUGAAAUGCGUAGAGAUGUGGAGGAACACCAGUGGCGAAGGCGACUCUCUGGUCUGUAACUGACGCUGAGGAGCGAAAGCGUGGGGAGCGAACAGGAUUAGAUACCCCCGUAGUCCCUGUCUCUUAUAA